rnacentral:rRNA from 1 species
CUCUGUGUUACGGGAUGAAUUGAGCGUUGCUGAUAACGCAGCGUUUUUGACGUUACCGUAGUAGAAAGCCCCAGCUAACUACGUGCCAGCAGCUGCGGUAAUACGUAGGGGGCAAGCGUUGUCCGGAAUCACUGGGCGUAAAGCGCGCGCAGGCGGUGGAAUAAGUCAGACGUGAAAGGGUUCGGCUCAACCGAGCCAUUGCGUUUGAUACUGUUUCACUUGAGUCUAGAAGAGGAAAGUGGAAUGUAUGGUGUAGCGGUGGAAUGCUUAGAUAUCAUAUAGAACACCCGUGGCGAAGGCGGCUUUCUGGUCUAAGACUGACGCUCAUGCGCGAAAGUUUGGGGAGCAACCGGGAUUAGAUACCCCGCUAGUCCUUACUGUAAACGAUGGGUACUAAGUGUAGGGGGUGUUGAUUCCCUCUGUGCUGUAGCUAACGCAUUAAGUACCCCGCCUGGGGAGUACGGCCGCAAGGUUAAACUCAGGGUAAUUGACGGGGGGCCGCACAAGCGGUGGAGCAUGUCGCUUAAUUCGACGCAACGCGAAGAACCUUACCAGGGCUUG